AAUUACUCUAAUCAGCCACACAAUUAAAACCACCGACAGUUGAGGUGAACAGUUAAUUCUUGAAUUUCAUGUGGUGGAAGCAGAAAAAAUGGGCAAGCGAAAAGUGACUUUGACAAAGCCCAAGUAGUGGCUAGACAACUGGGGUCAGAGCAUCUCCAAAAUGGAAAAUCUUAUAGCACGUUCCUGGUAUACGGUGGUUGGUACAUACCAAACGUGGUACAAGGAAG